GGUCUGGUGGUCUAGUGGUAUGAUUCUCGCUUAGGGCUCACCCUACGGCAUUGCAUGCGAGAGGUCCCGGGUUCAAUCCCCGGCCAGACCC
rnacentral:tRNA from 1 species